rnacentral:lncRNA from 1 species
UUUUUUUUUUUUUUUGUCGACACAGGGGUGUCCGAGUCAAUCCUUACGGGGCCCGACUAGUUUAAGGCAAAGCUAAUUUAUAGAAAAAUGUUUUUUUUCCCUUUAGAAGUGGCAGCCAAACUAUUGCCUAACACUGUAAAGUGUAAACUAGUGUAGUACUUAUUCUGUCUAGAAAAUAUGCAGUAAAACAAACUGAAAACUGACUUGGAGGGUCAGAGGUGGGAGGAUAAUUCAAAAUCUCUCAUUUACAAAAAAAAAUACAGAUUAUUUGUUUUUAUUAUUGACAUUAUACAAUUUGUUCACAUUAUCUUCACAAAACUAGGGCCAAAUAGUACAAUCAAAUAUUCUCAAAUUAAUAAUAUUUAUUUUCAAGUUACGUCAAUAACAGGAUGAAUUUUCAAUUCUCGAGUCUAAUUCAUAAAUUAGUCAAAUGAAAUCAUUUUCGCAAUGAAAUUUUUUGCCAUCAAUAGAACUAUAGAAGAUUUCAAAAAUCCCAACGAAGUGAGUUAUCAAAUCCAUAAUAUUAGACAGAACAAAAUACUUUUGAUUAAGAUGCAUAUCCUGGUAUUUCUUAAGUAUUUUAUUUUAGUUCCAAAAAUACUUUUUUAUUUAAGAACGUAUUUAUUAAAAUACUUUAGUUCAUUAAACCUACAAAUGGUCAUCACAUGUGUCAUGUAUCUAUAUAAUAGAAAUAUUUGAGGCAAUAAAUAGUAAAUAGUCAUUGUUCCCAUAGUCGACGACGGCUUUUUGUAAAGUUGACCAUAUAGCUUUUAUACGAUGGAAACUACGUAUGAAUAUGCAGGGGUUUCUCCAGAAAUGAAUAUUCACUCAGGCAGUGAUAGUAACCUUCCUUAGAUGAGCAUAAUUUACCUCCAAAAUGAACUAAUGAAGACAUUACUUGAUAGUUGAGGGUUUAGAGGUUUAGAGUUCAAAUCUCCCCUCGCUUCGUUUCUUAUUUCCCACUUUUUCACUGCCAAAAAAAUUUUAAAAACAGAGAGCUGAGACUAAUAGUAGAACUUUGAAAAGUUUAUAUUUUGGCUCCGGGAGACAAGGGUGAUUGAUCCUUAAUCAAUAGAUAUACCCUUUUUUAAUCAAUAUAUAUACCCUUUUUUAAUCAAUAGAUAUACCAUUUUGUCCUAGAGUUUGAUGGGUUAUAUAUAGGCAUGUCUUGCCUGGAUUUGGAAAGAAGACGGAUUUCCAUUGGCAUAAUCGUUUUAACCUUCCUCAUUUCAGCCUGCCACGAGAAACCAUACAAAAAUUGAGAUGAGUUUGGCAAUUUCUUUUCAAUUAGACUUUUAACAUGAGCAAAAGUAGAUUAAAAAUGAUCUAUCGCUUCCAUUUGCAGUGAUCUAUUUAUAAAAUUUUGCCUAUAUUAAACAGUAGUUUAUCAUGGAAAAACUGAAAUGUCCUAAGUAUGAUUUAUGUACUCCAUCAAUUUCUUUAUUUUUUUUUGGGUAAAAUUUCUGUCCAGGAGUAAAAUUUGAUUUCCAUUAGGCAAAAGUUAUAGACAAGCGUGACCGAAUGAUUAUUCUUGCAAUCAGCACUAAUCAAGAGGAGAGCAAUGUGCCCAUACCAAAAAAGUUGAGUACCAGUACCAUUUUUUUUUUCUUUUGGGUUGGAAAAGAUUGAAAAUUAGACAGGAAAUAAAGAUGAACUAUUCUAUUUUUCCCAAGGAUGUUACCUUUAAUAAUUAGGUAUUAUAUUCCACAAAAGAAAAAGUUGCCAAAAGUUACAAUAUUUAUGUCAUAAUCUGCCCCCACACUGCCCGCGGCAGGUGGAAGGAAAGGGAGGCAUUAACAAUUCUUAAUCAAGUGUGAUACGAUGUAAUUAUCUGAACAGUGAAGUUUAGUGGAUCUCCCUUUAGAUGGUUGAUUUUUAAGCAUUGUUGAAAAAAAAAAUCAAGUGUUAUACGAAUUGACCAAAAUUUGGAUAGACGCGAUUCAAUGACUCAAAUUGUAUCAUGCAAUCAAUCAAGUGGUGUGGCAUAAUCUAGACCAUUGAUUCUUUGAAUACCAGAUUUAUCCAAAUAACAUUGGAAGAGCCUGGCUGUGUAGGCCCAAUCAAAUUCUAGUCUUCUUAGACUCAAAAAAAAAAAAAAGAUAUUCAUUGAUAAUGCUUUCUAUGGAGAACAUUUUAGAUGGUUGACUAAUUAAAAAGCUAGAAUUUUUCCUACGUGCUAUAGUCAUGAAUCAUUAGGUAGUGCUUCUAAGCAUAUGUGUUUUGAAAUGGUAUUUAUGGCAAGAAUACUGUGCUAAAAAUAUAAUGAGUCAGAACAAUUCUGAAAUUAGUUUACAAAAAACUUCUGAAAUUAAAAAAGGGGGUAACAAAUUAAAAAAAAUAAAGUAUCACACAAUAUUAAUAUUAUCAAUUUCUUUUUUGGUUUGGGUAGGAAUAUCACCAAUUUCUAAUAAUGCUACUCAAUGCGACCCAAAAAGCGAGUCCAAUAUACACAUAUCCAAGGUCUUCAAAAAGCAGAUAUAUACAUAUCCAAGGUAAGAAAAAAAAAAUGCCAGUCCACUUGUUCCAGCGUAAAUGGCAUAUUGAUAUUCCCAGAGUAAUGCAAAUCAUAUAUAGGUAACCAAUUUGGGCUGAAAAUUGUAGGGCCAACCCGUGAGAGCCACUUACUUUGUAUCAACCUCUUUCCUUCGACAAAUCACAGUAGCAACACGUAUUUGGACCGAAAGAGCCCAAUCGAAAACAUAAGUAGUUUGGCUAAAUCACCAGGGAGGUUGACGUAGUUACCCCUAGUUUCAAUAGGUAAGUGAUAUUUGCACUUAGAAAUAGCUCAUGGCGUUCUUAAAUUGUCUUUCACAGUUUUAGAAGAUGAAAGUAUUUUUUUGAUUCUUCCGCGACAUACACUUCUUAAGAAAGGAUCGUACAUUUUAGCAAAAUAUUCAUUUUUAGUAUUGUCAUUCAUUACACAAUCUAGUUCUUGUUUCGAGUAUAUCCCGAAAAAGAAAUUCCUUAUCUAGGGCUUGAAUUCAAUUUCUAAACUCAUUGUUUAGAUUCUUUCUUUUUGGCUUAUUCAUGUAAACCCAACGUUUGUCAAAUUCAUUAGAGUAAGAUUUUUCUGAUCUAACAUUUUAUUAUGUGAAGAAAAAUGGAGUGCCACAAUUAUUUUAGAGUACAAAUUCAUUUCGGAAUAUCUUACUUUAGUUCACCUAAACUAAAGAAUGAAUAUAUGAGGGAUUCUAAACGAUAAUAAUGGAUUGCUAGCAUAAGCCGUAGUUUCACCAGCUUUGAGUUAGUAAGUUCUAAUAAUUACGGCCCUGUUUGGAAGCUUGGUUUUUUACCAAGUUUGUAUAAAACUAGUUUUUUAACAACUUUUACUACAGGAACCCCAAAAAACUUAUUAAAUCUUUUAACCUACACGCUUAAAAUAUCCAAAACACAACAAAAAAAAUUCCCUUCCCCUUUUCUUCUUCUUCCUCCCCCAUCACCACCUCCAUUGCCGGCUCCAUCACCAAUUUCCGGUGUCGGUCUUUUUUUUUUCCCCCUUUUUUUCCCUCUUCCUCCCCUGCCAUCAUCCUCUCGUCUUUUUUUCUCUCUCUAUGUCCGGCGCAGAGGGGGGUGGCGCAGAGGAGCGGCAAGGGGGGCAGAGGGGGGCAGCACAGAGGGGGACGGCGGGGAGAGAGGGAAGGCGGGGGAGGGGGAAGGGCAGAGGGGGGCGGCGGGGCAGAGGGGGCGGCGCAGAUGGGGGCGACGGGGGAGAGGGGGAAGGGGCAGAGGGGGGUGGCGAGGGGAGGGGGAAGGCGGGGUAAAGGUGGGCGGCGGGAGGUGGAGUUGCUGCUGGGGGUGGCGGAGGUAACGGGGAAGAAGAAGAAGAAGAAGAAGAAGAAGAAGAGAGGAAAGAAAAGAAAAAGGAAAGAAAGAAAAAGAAAAAGAAAAAGAAAGGGAAAGAGAAAAAAAGAAAAGGAAAAAAAAAGAAAAAAAAAUUUUUCACUUUACAAAAACUUCUACAAAAUUUUUUCAAAAACUUCUACAGUGCACUACAGUAAAGUUUUAGACAAACUCCAAAAAAACUCAGGUUCCAAAGAGGCCUACAUUAUGCUCUAGAGUUGACUAUGAGACGGUUAUCUAAAGUUGUCAUAUUAUGAAAUCUUAUUGCAAGAGAUUGUAAAAUGUUUUUGCGUUGUAAUUAAAAAUCACCAUCUCAUCAAUUAAAAUGUUUAUGCCCUUUUAUUUUUUACUAUCCAUCAAAUACUCAGAAUACUUCUAUUUUUUUUUAUUUAAAUGUGCUUUUGUCAAAAAAUUGAGAAGACUUUUAAAAUUUUAUCUUUGCCUUUGCUGAAAAUUAAUUCUCACUCCAAAACUAAUAGCAUUGUACAUACCCUAUCCAAAACAUUAUGACUAAAAGUAUGAUAAUUGAAAAUAAAAAAUUCUAAAAAGAAAAAAAUGUUAAUUUCAACUCAAAAAAAGAAGAAAAUAGAAAAAAGAGAGAAAUCCUCAAAGGUUUCAUUAGUUUUUCCAAUAGAUUUAGUUUUUUGAGAUGCUCUUCCCUCUGCCUUUUGACCUCUAUGACUUUAAGUGUCCUUUUCUCCAUAGUUUAUCUUUCCUAGUUGAAUUUUCUCUCUAAUUUUUUGGUGAGUCUCAUCAUCUUCCUUUUUUUAGGUUUUUAAGAUUUUCAAUAUUAUUAAUUAAAUUGAAAACAGGGCGAAAGCUAUAAUACCUAAUGCCAUCAAUUCUACUAACAGAAAAAAAAUUCAAAUUAUAAUAUUAUUCCUCUGUAGCUUAACUAGUGUUAUUAUUCUAUCACUAAUUGAAUUGUAUUAUAUUAUUAUUGAAAAACAAACCACUAUAAUUAACAUUAUAUUAGUGUUCAUUUUGGUUAGGGAACUGGAGUUGUGAUAGCGAAGCAUGAAAGGAUUGAAAUGAAACUUCACAGGCAAGAAAGUCUCUAUUAAACUAUCUAGGCCCUAGACAUAAUGGUUUAUCAAAAUAAAAAAACAAAAAUAAUAAUUAUAGUGAAAAUGAGAUUACCCUAACAAAGAAAAUCAUAUCCAACAACCUCAACUAUUCGAUCGACUCUUUAAAAGGAAUUGGUACACAUUUCCGCCCUACAUAAUUUUUCAUCUAAAUAUGCCCUAUAGUUCCUAAAUUGUAGGAAUGGAUUUUUCUGUACUGUGAAAUAGAGGAACUUUAGACACACUAUUCUAAUCUUCAUUUGAUCAUAGUGUGAUUGUCAAUUCAUCAACAUAACAUACAACAUGCCAAAGGAUUUCGUCGUCGUCAUGUGCUGCUCGUGUGAGUUUUGUAAGUUCGCGCUUCUCCGGAUGCUCCGUUGGAAUGGUUGGGGUAAUUGGGUGGCGGCCCAUGGGUUUUCUGCUUUCGAAUUAAUGGCCGUACCGCUUCCUUUCCUUUCCAGGCUCUCAUAGUUACAUUGUUCGAAGCUGGCAGCAAACCUUUGUCAAGAAUGGUAAUUGGCGUGAUUCAUUACGCCUGCGACUUCCGAUUUCCUCCGAAUCCCGACACUGGUUGGCUAUGCCCUUUUUCCCUACUGUUUUCUCAUUUGCUUCUUUCCUUUCCGCUUUCUGGAGUUUUUUGUUCCCUUGAACCCGUCCCUCUUUUUUGAUCUCCUUCCUCUCACCGGAUUCCCUGCCCAGCUUUAUUGCGAGCUCAGUUGCGUCUUCUUCGUUGAAUUUUAAGCUCGGUCUCCUCGGCCUUCUUUUGCUGGUGCGUUUUGCUUUUUCUUUCCCCCUAUUUUACGUUGCAAUUUAUUGUUGGCCAUGGUGUUUACUUUGAUGCUUUUACAAUGCUGUGUCUCGCCCUUAUUUUCUUGAGUUGGUCAGUGUUCUUUGCUGCCAUUAAUUAUUUCCUUUUUAUUAUUAUGCUGCAAGGGAGUAAUGCUGCCGUUAAUUAUUGGGAUCUGCACGGCGUUGUAGUUCUGUUCUUUUCCCCUGUUGAUUUCAUUUUUGUUUUCCCUUGGGUCUUUGUUUCGCUUUUCCAAUAGCCUUUGCUUCCUGUACGUUCCUUUUCCGUGGCAUGCAUGUGUUAUAAUUAAUUAGUAAUUGCUAUUAUUUUUCUCAUCAAGUUUCAAGUUGCCUUUGUUACUUAUGUAUUUGUGGGUAUUUUGGGUUCUGAUUUAACAUAGCCUACGGCAUCUUAGUUAAAAAAGAAUAAAUUUGGAGUGCCAAAAUCAUUACUCCAUCACAAUUGUUUAGAAUUGGCUUUUCCUUUUCUUUAUAAGAGAAGAGUUCCCAUUGAUUAUCCAAGUGUUAUUCACCAUAAUUAUUUCUUGAAAAAAAGGGUAACCCUUCCAAUACGAAUUCCAUGCAUGCAAUACUGUUAAAUUUCCUAAUUCUUCUAGGAGUCAGUUUAUACAUGAGGUGGAUGUAUAUAUAUAUAAUCCUAAGAGCAGUAUUGAACGGCCACAAAAUUAUGAAAAAAUUUAUCAUCCUCUCAAACUUUAAAUUUUAGCCCCCUUAGAGAAGACGGUCGACAAAAUUCACGAUUACGAAUUCUUCUUCGACAUUGAAUCUCCAGCUGGUGAGAAAAUGACAGAGCUUCAAGAAUGGAUGCAAGCGGAUAGAGAAUUGGUGAGGAAGUUGAGCAUGAGAAGAGAAUUAGAGGGCUUACCCUCGUUUUCUUCCAUAAAUAGUAGUCUAGAAAUAGGUUUAAUUUGGGGCAGCAGUGACUACUAUAUUAGAAGGCAAAAAUUUCUUAGAAGUUACACAUUUAGGAAGAAAGAAACUGCAUCCCAGAGGGCAAAGAAGUUGUGGGGCAAAGUGAAGCAAAAGGUCUUGAAACCGAAGAACAAUAGAACUGAGGAUCAUGGGUCAAAUAAUAGUAGCUCUUUAGCAAAAACUGGACGUGCAAGUUAGCCAUAGCUCUUUUUUCUGCCACUUUUGCCAUGGAGUGGGGGGGAUUUGCCAGUUUUGCCCACGAUGGCGUUGGUGUAGAUGGGUUGAUGUUUUUUACCUUGAAUGUUACUUACUUUGUUUAUGCAUUUCCUUUUUUAUUCCCUCACCUUCUUGUACAUCUGUCUGUUCUUCUUACAUUUCUAUUAGCCUUGCUGAUUACGAACGGUUUUCCUUGACUAAUGUUUUGUUCCUGGUUUUUCCCGUGUUCUCUAAGAAAUGGCUACUGAGCCUGUGUGCAUAUCACGAGUUGAUAAGUCUUCAAUUGAUUAGACUGUGCUGGUUCAAGUUAUCGAAGCUGAUCGUGUAAAGAUUACUCGAGAUGGGGAUUUAUCGAGGUCCUUGCGUCGAUUUCAAUUUGGUGACUUUCAGGUUUGAUCCAUCCAGAUUGAUCCUAUCUCCCCCCCUUCUAUUGUGUUGGUUGUGUUUUUUUUUGUGGUUAACUGAAACUCCUGAGGUGUUUCUCCCCCUUGUGGAUAGGGUAUCAAGGUCUCUGCGGUUGUCUUUGACGAUGUUGUUGCUAUUGUUGACGGGCUUCUUUCGCCGUUUAGAAAGUAUUACAUAUCAAAUGCAGAGGUGCAUGAGAUUCCUGAACUUGUUGGAAUGAGCUUGUAUUCAUUUUACUGGGUUAUCAAUGAGGGAACUAUUAUUGAAGAGUCUGCUGCCUCCGAGGAACUGGCUCUUCCUUUCUAUUUUGAAUUGCGCUCUUUUCAAUACUUCCACUUUGUGGCUGACACGGAUACUUUUAUAAGUUAGUCCAUUUGUUUACAUGUUUAGCGCUUUCUUUCCUCCCUCGCCAUUUGAUUGUUCCUAACUGUGUUCAUUUAUGGUUUUAAUGUGGAUGUCAUGGGAGUUGUUAUCCAUGCAUUGCCUCCACGGGAUGUGUAUUUUUGGAGGAAGCAAACGAUAUGGUAGAGAUUAUAUUAUAGUAGACCAAAGUUUAGUUUUUCCCUCUCAAGCACAACCCCUUUUAAUUGUUUAGCGAUUGUUUGCCUCCCAAACAAGAGCUUCCCAUGUGAUAACUCUUUGCUGCUUACUUAAAAUUUGUUCUGCUUCUGUAUUUUAUGCAUGCAGUAAGCGCCCAGUGGUGUUGACUUUGUGGGAUGAUUACGAGGCUAUUGAGAGUCGUGCUAUUGAUGAAUUAAUGGCGUCCAUGCCGAUUAUUAUUGCUGUGACGGUCAAGGUUACCACGCAGAAUUGUACGAUUUCCUGUCCGCUGUUCUUUUCCCUCCCCUGUGUGGUUUCUUUCCUUAGCUGUGCUUUUUUGUUCUAUUUUUCCAAACCUAUCUCUCUCAACUCAGCCAUCCUCUGUUAUCAAGGUUGCUCCUGCUAUUCUUGAAGCAAAAAAAUUUGAUGAUUGGUAGCCAUUGUCUAUUUAUUUAUUUUGCUUUUCUAUCUUUUUAUGAACUUAUUCGUAUGCACAAAGCUACUUUGUUCGUGUAGGUCUAAUGCUAAUAUAGCAGAGCUAGUUCGUAUGGUUUUUGAUGAUAAGGCCUACCGUGAUCCGUGCAUUCUGUUGCCCCCUGUUUGUGACGUGACGCUAACAAUGAUCUCUAAUCUUGUAUCCGAGUCUAGAUCCGUUACUGUCGGGGUAUUGCGAUUUUUUACUCCUUUUAUCAUGCUUAUUCUGUUAAUGCCUUUGUUUACAUUCUUUUUUGGCCCCUGCUCAGCUACGCUUUUGUUGUUUCUAGAACUAGGGAACUUUUUGGAUUAAGGGUCGUGUUGAAAUUGCAAGGCCUUCGGCUCGAUUUUGGCAUAUGGCCUAUCCCCACUGUUAUGAACUGUAUGAAUUUUCGUUCACUUUGGGGAUCAUAUGCCUGAAUUGUGGUCAGGGAAUGCAUGAGUUUCCUAGGUGAUUUCUUAAUCUGUUGCCUUUGUGUAUGUUUCUAUGUUAUUAAUAUGCAGUUCCUUGUACUCAUGUUUUAGCCUUGUUGCAUAUCAUGUGUUGUCUGAUAGGGCAUGGGUUCGUCUUAUGGUGUUUGACAGUACUGGUUACGUUAAUGUUUUUGCCUUGGGCCUAGAAGCUGAGAAACUUAUCGGCCUAAGUGCUGCUGAUAUGUAUCGCGUUUCUGAGCAUGAGGUGAUGUUUGUUUAGGUUUAUUGGUGUUAUUCUUCUAUUUUCAGGAGUUCAUGGCUUUGCUUUUACUGUCCAUUUUAUUUAUUCGCUCAACUUUAUAGCAUAUUGAUUUUAUACAGACUUUUGAAAUUUCGAAACGUGUGUCUCGUCAUCUUGAUGGAAAGGAACUACUGUGUUACCUUAAACAUUCGCCCAGGAUGAUCAGAACAAAAACAUUUACUCGCUACACUAUUGUUGCUUGUUACCCUGUUUCCAGAAGUGCCUUUUCUCAGCACAUACCUUUUGGAGAUAGUGUUUAGCUUAUUAUCUUAAUUGGCACCCUUGUAGCUUGUUGCGUUGCUUCAUCUUAUGUUUGUAUUUCAUGGUUGGGUUUUGCUGUUUUUAGUUGUUGGAUUUACAGCUUGUGGCCGUGUAAUGGGAAUAGCCGUCUUGCUGGGUAUUUCUUGUCUGUUAAGCCUUAUGGUUUGUAAUGAAUGGAUUUUAUUUUAAUGGAUGUUUGUGGUGGUUUUAUUGUGGCUUUGUUUAAUUAUGCUUCCUGAUGUUGUUAUAUGCAUGUUGAGCUGCUCUGGCUCUUCCAUGGAAUCCAAUAGAUUCCAUUAAUUUUAUGAUUCGAAAUGUUUUUUUGUACAACAGGCGUAUGCAUGUGUUUGGACAUUAAACAGGUUCGACCAAAUGUUAGUUUAUGUAUUCACAGACUUAUGUGUGUGCCUGCAAUUCAUUUUUUGUACUUUUCCCUUCCAGCCCUUGCUCUUGCUAGCACAGCUGACGUAUUUUCCCUUGAACCCCCCCGAAUGAGUUCUGUGCCUUGCGUUUUCUCCAUAUUUCUUACACUUGCUGAUUACUUUUCCCAAGUGGUUUGCCAAUUAACUUGCUGACCUAUGCUCCAUUUUCCUACCACCCCGCCUCCCUUUCAGAUUUGAAUAACACUUUUGUCCUUGCUAACCCAUUCAUGUGGAUUCGUUUUCAUGCUCCUGCGCACGUAAUCAAUUGACUUGUGAGACGUGGGAAGACCUUAUGCACCCUUGGUGCCGUAUGACUAGAGCUUAUGCACCCUUAGUGCCGCGAAUUCAGAAUUUAUGUGUUACGUUACUAAAGUCCGGCUUAUUGAUACAUUUUUUCUUAACCGCUAUAAAGCACCACUGUCUGGUUUUCAUACUUCUACGUUAUUUUGCUUGGUUUGCCUUUCUAUUGACCCUCCCUUUUUUUCCUUCCUUGUUCAUUCUACCUGUGAUAAGUAUACAGACCUCGAAGCAAAAAAAAUCACCGUAUAAGAACCUCUAAAAGUUUAUUUCUGUGCCGUUAUAGGCGUGAAUGCAGUGCCUUCUUAUUGAUACCUCUAUAUUCAAUGGACCUUCUUACACUUUUUCCCCCCUCGUUGUUUGGCUCCUUAUUAGCUUAUAUCAAGCGGUAUCGUAUAUAUACUUUACCUGUAACGUUUUGCCCAUAGAAUUUUUUAUAUUGUCUGCCCUGCAAUUUUUGCCUAAUCGUUGUUUCAUCUGGGAUAACUUUUUAUCCGAACAAACAAAUUUUUUACUCUUUUCUAUCCUGCCUAUAAUUUCUCGUACAUGUUUGUACUUUUGUCGAAAAAAUAAACAUAUACAUUUUCCGUCACCAUCUUUGUUUGCUAUCUGAACUCUAUAUCAAUCUAAUUACCUUUCAUCACUACUUUUUUCCCCAUAUUUUUUGGUGGUAGUUAUAGAAGUGUCUUUUUUUAGGUUCACUUAGUAUUGCCCCUUAUGUCUAACCUUUGCUUGACAGCUAAAUUUUUUUAUUCUUUCUUAGAAUGCAAUAUCCUUUAUUUUGCUUUAUACUAAAUCUUUUUCUGUCCAUUGAAUUUAUUACUUCUAAUAAGAAUAGCUAUUACUUUUUCGCUUGCACAUUUUUGUAUUCUGCUGGUAUUAUUGUCAGCUAUUUUUACAUUUCGUCUGUUCCUUGUAAAUAACUUUCCUCUUGCGGAUGCGUCUGGUUUCACUUUAGUUAAGACUACUGUGAAUCUUUCCCUUGUCAGAACCUUUUAAAUGUAUAUGCUGCUGGUUGUCUCUAUCUCGAUUUUAUCCAGGUCCUCUGUUAUCGAAACUUAGCAAUUUUUGUGCUAUCUCAGUAUCCGUGUGAUCAACAAAACCCAGUCGCUUACAAUCUUUUAGACUAUGGAACAGAUCCGUUCUUCCUCGGUUAUCUUUUCAAAAUUACUGCUCCCUUCUCCAAUGCUGCAGCAUUGUCCGUUCACAUCAUCUCCUUUUCUUGGUUGAUGUGUUUCUGCUCCUUCAAAUUUUUUUCUCAUCUUACGUUUUCUUUUGUUUAUCGCGUGUUUUUCCUUGGUUGUCCUCUUCCAUUGUAUUCUUACCCCUGGUGCCUUGCUAGGAACAUCUGUCCUCUGUGUUAAGCUUUCCAGGUAUUUUUUUGAGUUCACCUCUUACUGUUUGUUCUUUAUUUGUAUGCGCUGCACUAGCAUUUUUGCAUAGCCAAGCUCGUGUUAUCUUGCACACCAUGUGUUUGUUAGCUGCAUGUAAUGCGUAAGGUUGACUGCUAUAGCAUUUUUUUGACAUGCACGUUACCAUUGUACCAAAGAACAUAUGUUUUCUGUCUUUAAGUUAACUUGCUCUUUUUUCCUGCCGGCUUUCCCUUUAACUGCCCUUGCCUUCAACCUUCAUUGACUACUUUGCUCUCAGAUAAACUUAUCCAUUUGUAAUCCAUUAGGCUUUUUCCGCAGCAUUGUCUAUUCUGUUUUCAUUUUUUUGUCUUUCUCGAAGCGUUCCAGCUUUGACUGAACUAUAUUUGCUCUCCUUUCAAGUUAUCUGGUUCUUUUUGGCAGGAAUUUCUCCUUCAAUUGCGCUUUCCUUGAACCUGCAUUCGGCCUUUGUUUCCAGGUAACCUUCUACAUCUACAGAGCAUUUUUUCCCUGUUGUUACUCUCCUGAUCUUUGCAUCUUGAAGGUUGUGUUUCCCACAAUUUUUAUUAUUCUUCUUAGCCACCCUUUUGUUAUUUUUUCUUUUCAUGCCAUUGGUUUCUACUUUGUUUUUCCUGUUCUUCUCUACCUUUUUCUUUUAACAUGCUUACCAUCUGUUGCAAAUUUUUUGUCCAUGUUAUGGCAUUGUUUGCGUUUUUUUUUUUGCGAUUAAGUAUUGAUCUCAAUGCCUUUUAUGUUCAUCGUCAUAUAGCAUUUGUUUUGGAUUGAAUGGAUUAUAACUUAAAACGGCGUAUGCGAUAUGCUGCUAUGGAUCAAGAGAAGAAGGAUGCAUUAAAUCGCCGUAGGAGAGCUUCGUAUGCUGCGAAAAGACAGAGUUGUCCUGUUGCUCCCACCCUUGCUGUGCGACAGUUAGAAAAACAAAAUUCUAAGCCUAGCCAUUGUUCAGAUAGCUCAGGCAGAAAUAGGUCUAUACCUGAUACGGAUGCUCAGAAUAUAAUCGAUAGUGAUGCAUUAGCUGAAGCGUUUGAUGGUAUUUCUGAGCAACUGGCUUCUGAUAUGAGAAGCCAAAACUUACCUCCUGAAGGCUCGUUACCUAUCAGUUCUUCUACCGUACCUUCACCGCUAGGAGGUAUAUUGUUUCUGAGAUUAGAUUCGUGAGCUAUAGAGCCUCUUUCCUUUUCUUAUUAUCCAUUGCUAGUACUGUUAUAUCUUUAUUUAUCCCUCCAGCCAAAUACUGAUUGGGGCCGCUCUAUGCAUCACUUCUUUCUAACCCCUUACAUAGAUUUCUUUGUUCUUACUUCUUCACUAAUUUAUAACUCACUCUCUCGUGCACUACUGUUUUUCUUCGUUGUCUCUUACACCAAAAUUCCCCAUAGUUGCUCCCAAAUCGUCACUUCUUUUGUUUAUUUGUGUUCUGGUUAGUUUAGCUAAGGUUGGUGUCUUAUUUUUUUUUUUAAAGUUCUUGCCAUGGUGCCUGUUGAAGAGGGUACCUGUGUGCUUGAAUUUGAUAACUCUAGACUUUCUGAAUCUUCAAACAAUCCACAGAUCGUUGUUAAUACACGAGUUGAGGGUGAAGGUUAGUGAUGGAUAAUCUAACUUCUUUAUAUAUGUCUGAGAGUAAGCUUUUGCUGUAUUUUCUCUCGGCUGGAUAGGGUGAUAUAUUUCUUUGUAUUGUCUUGGGAAAAAGGAAAAGGCUUAGAAUCACAAAUUCUUCCCGCUUGAACAAAGUACCAACAAAGCCUCUUGUCCUACCCAAUGUUCCUGACUGUGAGUAUUUUGGUGCAAAGAGGUUUACCUUGGAACCCCCCAAAUUUUGUUGUCGCGGCGGGGAGAUUUCUGUUGUUUGUCCAACGAUGCCUUACGAGCUCUUUCGUCUUUACUCUGGUACUGACGAGGACUUUGAUGAGUUUCGAAAAUGGGUUCGAACCUAUAACAAUAAUUUGGCCUUCACAUCGUUUGGCGCCAAAUAUGAUCGUGCCUUAACAAAAAAUACUAAGGGUGUUUAUACUUUUCGGGUGUAAGGCUAGGUGUACCACUUAUUGAACAGUUUGGUCUCCUAAUGAUCAAGCUACUCGUGUCCAGCUAUAUUUCUAUGAUCAAGAAGAGGAGUUAUCAAAAAGAGUGGCUGGUUCGCCUAGGCUACGUGAAAGCACCCUCAAAUUAUUGAUGCGUAUUCUAGAGGCUAAUCCAUACACUAAAUUUUUCAAAGAUCUUCGAGAUGUUCAUGAUCUAGACAAUCAUAGGAUUGUUCCCAACUUGGAUCCUCAGCUGGAUCAACGUGUAUAUAAUUUGCCUGCUUCACCCAAGUUGCUGCCAUUAGGACAGAAAAUGAGGAUGAAGCGCUUGAAAAAGGCGCUCAUAUUCAGGUUUAUACAUACUCAAAUGUGCCUCAUAGGAUACCGCAUUAUUUUGCAUGUUACGAUCCGUUAUAGUACCCUCUCUUAUUCCUCGGGGCAAACCUAGUUGGCAUUAUGGCAUCCAAAAAGUACCGAUCCCAAUGAAGGAAAUAAAGAGGUUGACAAUGAUGAUGAUGUCGUGCCUAAUUUUUCCUUAAUUGGGAGUGCAUCAGACUUGAUUCAACAGGAACACGAAGGCAAGUCUUCUUAGUUUGUUCCUGAAAUUUCUCCCCCUUGUCACCCCCGUGUUAUAUAGAGUGUUAGAUAACUCUGUUAUCCUACUUUUUCCUUGUUUGUGCUUGGUGUGUAGCUGCUGAAGGUGGGAAAAAAUAGCGUGAUACUAUUUCUGCAAGAGAGUACUACUGUUACUUACUUCAGAUGAGAGAAAAUGAUAGAUCAAUGGUGUUGCACACAAGGAGACUGCUAUAGCAAUUUGCUGUUGAUAUUUACGUGAAGAUAGAAACGUCUAGGCUUGACUUCCAUAGAAAGAACCAAACUAAUAUUAGGACCGAGAUUUUACAAGGUGUAAUGGAUAGUCUAUCUGUUGGCUAGACUGAAGGAGAAAGUGUUGGUCGUCGAGUUUAUCUCCCAGCUUCUUUCAUUGGUGGUCCAAGGGACAUGCACCGCAGAUAUGUUGAUGCGAUGGCGUUAGACCAGAAAUUUGGUAGGCCUGAUCUUUUUAUUACCACGACAUGUAAUACGCAGUGGAGAGAAAUCCAAGAAAAUCUAAAAUAUGGAGAUGAUGCAUAGGAUCGGCCUGAUUUAGUGUCAAGAGUCUUUAGAGCAAAGUUUGAGCUACUCAAGACUGAAAUAGUGAAGAAAAAGAUUUUUGAGGAGGUUGCUGCCUGUGUUCAUGUGAUUGAGUUCCAAAAAAGGGGUCUCCCUCAUGCUCACCUCUUGAUCAUCCUUAAGCCUGAAUUUAAGCCACUGAACUCUGAUGCUUAUGAUCGUAUUGUGUUUGCUGAGAUUCCAGAUCCACAGAAUCAAAGUUAUUUGUAUAAUCUUGUGCUCAAACAUAUGAUGCAUGGACCAUGUGGAGUUUUGAAUAAGGACAAUGUUUGCCUGAAAGAUGGCCUUUGCAAAAACCAUUAUCCAAAAAAUUUUUGUGAUUUCACAGUCCAUAUUGAGGAUAGCUACCCACACUAUAGAAGGCGAAAUAAUGGUCGAUUUGUAAGGGUGCGUAAUAACACCCUAGACAAUCGAUGGGUUGUGCCAUAUAACCCAUACCUUCUUACUCUCUUUGACUGCCACAUGAACGUCGAAAUUUGUUCGACGGUUAAACUGGUCAAGUAUUUGUAUAAAUAUGUCUAUAAGGGUCACGAUCAUGUUAGCUUCCAUAUUUAUUCAGAAGAUAACACUGACGACAUAGAUGAAAUAAAGAAUAUUCAGACUGGGCGGUGGGUAGCGGCUGCUGAAGCUUUUUGGCGCAUUUAUAGAUUUAAUCUGAAUGAGAUGACUUCUACUGUGUAUACUCUUCAGUUGCAUCUUCCAGGUCAGCAAAUGAUCUUUUUUCAUAAAAAUACGAAUCUUGUUGACCUCUUAGAUCGAGCCGAUUUUCCAAGACAAUGCUGACAGAAUUUUUUCACAUGAAUAAAACCAGCAAAAGAGCUCAAAGUCUUAAAUGCCGAUACCAUGAAUUCCCAGAGGUUUUUGUUUGGAAGCCUACUAGGAAACAGUAGACUGAACGGAAGAGAAAAAGAAUCAUUGGUCGUGUUGUGACUGUUGCUCCAAAUGAGGGAGAACGCUACUACUUACGACUUCUCUUAUCUCACGUUUGUACUCCCACGUGUUUUGAAGAUCUCUUGAUUGUUAAUGGAAAGCUUAUGCUGUCCUAUAGAGAGACUGUCUUCCAAAUGGGAGUGCUUCAAUCUGACGCACAUCUGGAAGACACGCUUAAUAAAGCAGCAGCCUUUCAGAUGUCUUCUUCGUUAAGAACUCUCUUUGCAAUCUUGUUAGCCUAUUGCUUGCCGAGCAAUCCUAAGGUCCUCUGGGAAAGAUAUGAAGCUGAAAUGUCAAGGAAUUUUGAAAGAGAUAAGAGUUUUUCUACUCAGACUGUUGAACAAAUAAGAAGACGUGCUUUGCUGGAUAUAAAUAAAUCCUUCGAACAAAUGGGAAAAAAAUCAAUGACUACCAUUUGGUGCCUGAUGGUUUCGUUCUCGGUCAUGAUGAGCGGCUCACAAGAGAAAUUCAGAGCGAGCUAAGCAUACAGUUUACAGAGCAAGACUUGUUAUUGCCUUCAAAGUUAAAUAUAGGCCAGAGAUUUGCCUAUGACAUUAUUCUGAAUGAAGUUUUCUCUUUUGGAAAUAACUGUUUUUUUGUUGAUGGACCUGGCGGGACUGGUAAGACCUUUCUUUAUCGCUCUAUUCUGACAAUGCUUAGGUCCCAAGGGUUCAUAGCAAUGCCUGUUGCAUCAUCUGGAGUAGCUACAUCUAUUCUUCCAGGAGGGAGGACCGCACACUCAAGGUUUAAAAUCCCGUUAGACAUUUCUACAAGUAAAGUUUGUCAUAUCAGUAAACAGAGCUCUGUUGCUAAGCUUAUUAUGAUGGCUAAAUUAAUUCUAUGGGAUGAGGCUUCUAUGGCCAAGAGGGGCACUAUCGAAGUUUUUGACAAGUUGCUCAAAGAUGUAAUGGAUUCCGAUCUGCCCUUUGGUGGUAAAGUAGUAGUCUUUGGGGGAGACUUUCGGCAAACUUUACCUAUUAUUCAGAAUGCAACAAAGGAUCAGCAAAUAGAGGCCAACUUUGUCAACUCCCCCUUAUGGAGUUCUCUUCGGAAGUUAAUCUUAACUGAAAACAUGAGAGCUAUCUCUGAUAGCCACUUCUCUGAUUUUCUACUUAGGAUAGGUGAAGGUUGCGAACUAGAGGACGCUGAUGGAAAAAUAACUUUAUCCAAUGAUAUAUCAAUCCCGUUUGAUAACAAAGAAGAUUCACUAAACAGGUGAAAAAUACUUUUUCCUUUCAAACUCCGUGCUCCUUUUAUUAUUGGCCAUCAACUUGAUUAAAUGGUCUUAUGUUAACUAAAAUAUUUGUUAACCAGGUUAGUGGAUUUUGAAUUUUCGGAUUUGAGCGUGUAUUCAUCUGAUCCAUACCAGAUCACAAACAGAUGUAUUCUUACUCCAAAGAAUACAUGUGUCGAUGAUAUAAAUGAGAUGAUGAUUGAUCGCUUUCCUGAUAACCUUUUGUGUACAUGAGCACUGAUCGAACUAUUAAUGAGAGAGACCAAUCCGACUACGAAGACUUUGUAAACUCUUUGAAUCCCAAGGGUCUGCCCCCUUAUAAACUGGUGCUAAAAGAAAGUUGCCCUGUUAUUCCCCUUAGGAAUUUAAAUCCUACGGAAGGCUUAAGCAAUGGAAUACGGCUUAUAUGUAGACAGCUAAAGCAGCAUGCCGUUUGGGUAGAGAUUGCUGUUGGUCAACAUCGAGGAAAAAAGGUUCUUUUGCCAAGGAUUCCUCUCCAAACAUCAGACAAUGAAAAGAAUGGGGUUCCUUUUAAGCGAACCCAGUUUCCCAUUUGACUUUGCUUUGCUAUGACGAUUAACAAGUCACAAGGACAAACCUUGGAUCGUGUUAGAGUUUAUUUACGAGAACCUGUGUUCUCACACGGCCAGCUAUAUGUUGCACUGUCUCAUGCUAGAACAUCAUCUUCUGUUAGAGUUUUAAUAUUACCAGCAAUAUUUAAUGAUAUUGUAACUGAAUUCAAGACAAGAAAUAUUGUAUUCCAUGAAAUUUUUUGUUUGUCUCAGAAAUAAAUGUUACGUUUUGAGAUCUACAUAGUUCUCGUGUGUGACUGUAAUAUUAUAUGAAUUAUCCUUUUGUGCAGCCCCUUUUGUGCCCUUAUUCUUUAUCUUGACAGAUUUGCUUGUUUUAUUUCCUUGCUUAUUCCAGCAUGGCAAAUACAUUGUAUAUUGAUGAUAUUGUGCCUGGAUGAAGUCUUGGAUAGCUGAAGUAAUAGUUCAGGAAAAGUUGAAUCUAGGCUCUUCGACUUCCACACCAACUAGAUUCUAAAGACUUAUUUUUGUCGACUCAAAGGUAUAUUUCUACUCACUGUCUUUCAGCCUAAGUUGACUAUUGUCUUUGUUCGCCCUUAAUCAGUAUCACUAUAUGUUUUCUUUAUAAUUUGUCAAUCUCUGAUUAUAUAAGUUAGCCUUUGACACAGGGUUCAAGAAUUCAGGGAAUUCUUUUUAACUAUGCUAUUGAAAAGAUGGGGCCAAAGUUGCAGCUUUACAAGAAAUAUCGUAUCUCAAAUGUUGAAGUGAAGACAAUUCCUGAAAAAUUUAGGACUGAUGGUAUUGAGCUGCAAUGGGUUAUAGGGACGCAAACUGGUGUUUAGGAAAUUGAAGGUGAAGAAAAUAAUGUCUUGCCGCUUCAAUUCACACUCACACCCUUUAAGGAAUUUGCUCGCUAUGCAGAUUCGAAGACUGAAACUGUUGGUAAGUUUGCCCUUUGAUCUACUGUUCAUUGGUUCUAUGCUAUAAUUUAUUACUGUCUGAUCCAAACUAUUGGCUAAUAAAUUUGUAUACUUACAUUUGUGCUGAUUUGCCUGCCUUUACUACUAUCUUUGUUCAAAUUACAGAUGUUCUUGGUAUUGUUAUUGAUGUCCUUUCUGUCAUCCCAAUCAACAAAGACUCAAGGGAAUCAUUUGUGCAGAGAUUUGUUAUUAUCAAUGAGGAGUAUGAACUGCUUUUUCCCAGUUAUUUUCUGUUUUGCGCUCCAUACUGUUAUGUCCUCAAACUUAUGUACUAUGAAAAUAGCUUAAAAGGUUGCAUUUUGCUAUUUGUUAUAUAGGAUGAAUCCGAUCAUUUUAUCUCUUUGGAAUAGUUUCAUUGAAAAUGAGGGUAAGGUUAUCACUGAACAGAAGGACAAGUGUCCAGUUGUGAUAGGUCGCAGGCUCAAGGUUGUUACUUAUGGAGGUAAGACCUAAUAGAGGUUAGGUUCUUGAUUAUUUAAUUCUAUGUGUGUUAACGAUUCCUGUUCUAAUUGUAUCUACCUAUCAAGAAUUGCCUUAUCAAUGAGGAAUGAUUCGGUUAUUCUUGUCAAUCCACCAGUUAGAGACGCCAAACAACUCAAACACUGGUGCGCAAUGUUUAUUGUUUCCUUUUCCUUUCCUUUUUUUUGUUUUUGUUUUUUGGUUGGGAUGAACUACUUGACGUUCACUGCUUUCUUUAUUGAGCUGGUGAAAUUUAUAGGGCUGUCAGAAAUGAAAAAAGUUUCUCUGCUCUUGUUCAAUACAAGUCAUACAGCAAUUAUAGUCCCAGAAUGUUUUAUGAUCGAAACCACAAAAUUACCUCGCUUGUGGAUCUUACACCAGCUCAAAAGGUCAUAACUUGUUUACUGUUGGAUUCGAUUCUUUAAAUGAUGCACCUGUGUUUUUUUCUUGAUCUGCUUAUACAUUUAUAUACACCUAAAUCUUCCUAUAAUCUGUUUACAAACUUCUGCAGAUGUCAUGGGUUAACGCUUGCUUUUCUUUUGAACAUAUACUGCAAAAGUAUUGGUAUAUGUCUUGUAUCAAAUGUUGCUGAAUGACAUCAGCAAACUAUGAUUCAGUUUAUACAUGCAACCACUGUAAUGAGAAACAGAAAACUGUACCAAGGAAAUUUCCCCUUUGUUCAUGAACUAUCAUUGUUCUACAUAACACUGCUUUUGUUGAAUUUAUUGACUUAUUUCUAAAGUUCAUAUUCAUGCAGAUGUCAUUUUGAUGUUGAUCUUACUGAUGAAACUGACACGGUCACAGCUUCAAUAUUUGGUGAGCUUGCCGAAUCACUACUUAGAUUCACUGCACUCGAGGCUUUGAAAUGCUAUAACAAGGUCGGAAGUACAAGUAGCUUUGACUAGCUGUGUAUUUUAUACAUACAGAAUAUCAUGCUAAUGUAGGUUUCUGGAAUUAUUUAACAGAAUGAAGCACUUCUGCUGGAGAAUAUACAUAGACAAUUUAAAGAAAAGAUGUUCAUUGCCCAGCUGAAACCAGGAAAUACGAAGGAUGGCAGUGGAAAUCACCGCUACACAGUUGCUUAUUACUUUGAAGAAAAUGCAGCAACAUCUUCGUUCAACAAAGAUUCCUGCAUCAGUGUUCAAAAUCAGUUUAUCCAAGCUAAACAACAAAACUCAGAAGCUGGUUCUUCAGGUUCUUUUUUUAACAAGCAUGCUUUCCAUUCCUCUUGUUCGCUUUCUUAGCAUUGCUCGCUUUUUCGUUCUAGAGGGACAAGAACCUUCUUCGAAACGACGAGUUCGUCUCACAAGAAGGUUUAGAGAUGCUGGAGAAAUGGAAGAAGAACCUACACAGGUCGAUGACUCUGGCAGCACCAUGAAAACAAAACUUGUCUGAUCUUUCCUUAUCUAUGCUCCUCUUUUGAGUUGCAUUAGUGAUGCUGCGAAUCUUUUGACUACUGCCGAGAAUAGACAUGCUUGACUGGAUGCGAAGCUUGUGUUUUGCUGAACUUAUAUAUCUGCUAUGCGUUCCAUUUAGAUGUUUUUGCUUGGAAUUGAUGCUUUGGUUAUCAUGGCUGCCUAUUGUCAGAAAUGGAUUUUAUACCAUGUAACUCCCAAUUACUUAUCAUCAUUUGGUAUAUUUAUCUAUUUAGUUAUCAAAGCACCUGACUUUUGGAACCAAAUUGCACAUUCAUUGCCAUGCUUCUGUUUGUGUAAUGAACUGAUCUAUCAAGUUGCUGCACAAUUUUCCAGCUAAGAAUACUGUCAAAUAGAUCAAUUUCAGAAUUGCAACCAUCUUUAUAGAUGUCAUCUUUUUCUUUUGCAGCAUACCAAAUUUCCUUUUCUCUUCAUACUUACUUAUAGUGAUAGAUUUUAGGAUAUCUCAUACUCUUAGUAUUUAAUCCAACCACGCAUUCGCCGUUUAUGUAAACCCUUCUUAGACCUGUCUAAAUGGGCAUGCAUGCUGGUUAUUCCAUCGCGCAACGCCACGGUUAUUCUUCCUAGUUUGUUCAAAGUGUGAAUGCAUGCCACCACACAUAUCUUUCUCCCAUUUUAUAUAUUGGAUACUUAGUAUCUUUAAGUUUAAGUUGUAGUAAUAAAUCAAAUCAUAUGCUUCCAUUUCUUCUUUUAUUCCUAUGAUUGAAUGACGGCAUGUAAGGAAUACUUCCAUACAAGGAUUGGAAGAAAACCCAUUAUAGUUAGAUUUUUUAACGUUGCAAAUGUUAAGAGAAGGCAAUUGACAGGGAAGUAGUAUUGCAAACAAAAUAGAAGUCUAAAGAAAAGGAGAUUGGCAUGAACAAAAGAGGUGAUUGAAGAGAUGAGGCAACAAUCAAUAGCGAAAUGAUAUCCAUGAGGCUUAAGGUAUGAGAAAAGCAAUUAGUACUAUGAUAUAGUUGGUACAAAAGUAGGAUAAAAGAAAUGUAAAUAUGCAUAUAUAGGUUCAUUUGUAAGCAUAAAUCUUUUUGAUGCACAACAAUUAUCCGCCAAUUAGAAUUGUUAUUCUAUUCUUAUUUAAUUCAUUUAAUGUAAUGAUUGUUUUGAUUUUUUCUUUACUGAUUAUUCAUUGUUUUCCCCAACAUUGAGCAUAUAUAAAACCUACGAAACCACCCUUUUAAUUCAAAUAUUUCAAAUAUAUGAAUUCAAAAUAAAUAGAUGCUUUCUCUAUUAUCAUUAAUGCAGAAAGAAUUUAGAGCAAUUUUAGAAUUAUAUAAAUUAGGCAAUUCUAGUACUACAAAUUUAAUUUAGCAAGAUCUCAUUUUACUCUAGUAUCUAAUAUAUUGUUGAGCCUUAUUAAAUGCACUUUUUCCUCCUAUGAUAUUUAAUAAGAGCAUGAUGAUAAGUAGAUUUAUGCAUAUCAAAAAUUAAACUAUUCCCAUACCCCAUUCAAUAUCAUAUUUUAUGUGUUACAAUAAAAUUGUAUUAUUUUAUUUUGCAAUAAAGUAGACUAAUUCUAUACCAUCUUAACCUAUUCUCAUGUAAUGCAAACACAAUAAGUAAAAAAUAUUAAAUUUAGCAUGCAAUGCAUGUAUCAAGUUGUAUAAACACUCAGGCAUGAUGAAAAGUAUAGUACAGUAAAACCUCUAAAAAUUAAUAAUUUUGAGACCAUUCAAAUUCUAUUAAUUUAAAGAAGUAUUAAUUAAUUGAUAAGUCAAUAAUUUAUUAAUUUAUCGAAUGUACUAACAAUUGAAAGAGACAUUUAUUUAAUUAACUAAACUUUUAUUUUAUUUUAUUUUAUUUUAUAAAAUAUGAAUUAUUCUAUUAAUAAAAGGAGGCUAAAAGUUUAAGAAAUAUGAAACAGUCCAUAUCUUCUUGAUUAAAAAGAUUUAGGAAUUCUAAAUGAUAUAUGUUCAUUUCUAUUUGGGAUAAUUUCAGAAACCUCCCCUGAGGUUUCUGACAGUCUCAAAGACCUCCCCUGAUAUUUUGAAAAUCCCUUAUACCUCCCCUAAAACUAAGUAGAAAGUAUCAGAUUCAACUCAAUUGAGGUGGACAAUGAAUAUAAAAUGUGUUUUAGGAGAGAGAAAAUAAAGAAAUUCCACCUCUGCCCUCAAGAUUGUCAUUAGUGAGGGUGUUUAGGUUGAAAAUUUCAAUGGAAUCUAGUUCCUUUGAAAUUUCAGGGGGUGUAUGUGAAACUUAUAGAAAAAGGUAAGGAUGUAUUGCAAGAAAUUGUGUUCUACUUCAUGCCAACAGCUCUCAAAGCAGUUCUUUGUAACGGUAAAAAGAAACAGUCAUGUUGCUUUGGAGCUCUAUAUAAUUGCCUACUGGAGUUGCAAGAGAAAGCAUUGGAUGUUGUUGGGUUGUGGCUGAGGUUCUGCAAAAGUGCUCAUACAAGUAUAAGCUGAAAUACCUACAAACAGAUACACAUGGCUUCUUCAAGCCUGGUAGAUUCAUCAUGGAAUUCUCCAACUUCAUUUUCAAUAAGAUAUAAAUAUUGCCAUUGUCAUCGGAAAGCAAGCAUUAAGAUUUCUGAGAGCAGGAGGAAUCCAAACAAGCUCUAUUUCGGUUGCUCAAAUUGCAAAUUCUUUCAGUGGUUCGAAGGGCCUGAAGAAGGUGAAGUGAGCAGCCAAAGAAGAGAUCAACGUUCAAGCAUGCAAAAGGAGGAUCAAAUAUAGUUUGUCAAAGUAGAGCAGUCGAACUCCAUUGUGAAAUGGCUGCUUAUAAUGAAACUGUUAUUCAUAGCUAUUUACAUUUUGUUGUUGAUAUUGUUUCAGUGGGUUGAAGGGUCUGAAGAUGGUGAAGUGAGCAGGCAAAGAGCAGAAGGACAUUCAAUCAUGCAAAGAGGUGAUCAAGUGCAGAAUUUGAAUGCUGUCAAGUUUAACUCCAUAGUGAAAUUGAUGCUUAUAAUGAACCUAGUAUUUUUAGCUGCCUAUGUUGUUAUGUUGAUUGUAAAAGAGAUCAAAUAAGUAUUGAUUCAUAAUAGUAAAGAACCAGAUUCAUUAUCAUGUGCUUCCAGUUUUGCUUAUUGAAUACCACAAAUCCUCAUAUUACACAAAAACACAGUGUAUAAGUAAUAGUGCAAAUGAAACUUCAGUUUCUGUUGAGAAGCUUUUCAUACUACUUAGUUGUAGCGAUGAGUGGGGUGGAAUUUAUAUGUACAAUAGCCAAAUAUUUCCACUAAUGCAUCUAGGUUGAUACAAAAGAUAAAUUUUUCCAAAAUAUCAAAUAUCAAAUGUUCAGAUACCAAAAUGAGAUCACCAAGACAUCAGAUAUUGUCAUUUCUCCAAUGUCGACAACUAAUGAUCAAAUAUUCAUGUCCUCUAAUAUCCAAAUAAUAAAAGACUCUUAAUCAGAUUCUACCAAAAGGUGAAGCUGCUACUGACAUUGUGAGAAUCAUGAGAAACUGAAGCAUUGAUGUUGACAUCAGUUUGUACUUGGGCAGUUCCACUGGGAUGUAGUGCAGCAGUAUGCAUUACUGCAAUUGGUUGAGGUACUGCUGUUGAAGUUUUCCUUUUGCGGUUAUAUACAGCAGAUGGAGCAGAUUUGUUGGAAGGUCGUCCUCUCUGAAAUUUUGGUCGAAUUUUGUAUUAAUAUACAGGCAUGUAAAUAAGCAUUAAAAGUGCAGCUAUGAUGUAAAAGGAAUUAAGGAACAAAUACCUUUCUCUUAGUAGCAUUGGUUGCUGUUUGGAAAUUCAAGUCAACAUUCAUUAAUGGUGAUUGAAUUGAUGGACUUGGGUUGCUGCCUUGACUAGAAACGACAAUAGGCACAUUGCCAUCAACAUGAUCCUGCACAAAUCACCCAUGCAUUAGCUCAUCAGACAUUGUCAUCAUACGAAAAGUAUGUAUGUGAAUCUAAAAGAAUUGUAACCCAUAGAACAGAUCCUGCAAGACUUGUAUUUGCAAUUCCCCUUCCUGGCUUCCCUCUAGCAAAUUGAGUAACCUGACAUGAAAAUUGAUAAUAGAUUGCAAGCUCGCUUAGCAAUUUCAAUGCUGUCAACAAAAACACUAGACUGAACUUUUGUGCCACCUGUGCUUGUACUCUUUUGUCUCAUAGGUGCUCUUUGACAUGUUCUAGUAUUAUGUCCAGUAGCUUUGCAGUUGCCACAUCUCAUAGUGAUUGACCUUUUGGCUUGAGAUUGGCUUGGCUCAUCAGGCUCUCUCCUUCUAUUAACUCUUGGACGACCUGGAGCUCUUCUUAAUAGUGGUGGAAGGACAGUUCUUGGUGUGACAUCAAUUAAUGGAGGCCAUAUCUUCUCGUGAGGAAUUGGAUGUAUCAUGCCACUGUAUGUCUUAAAAUACAUUUCUGUUGAGAAGCAAGGAUCACAGUAUGUCUCCAAUUUCUGUCUUUUGUAUAUAAUUCCAAGUGCAGCAUGCUUGCAUGGGAGUCCAGAUAAUUGGAAAGCUCCACAGUCACAUGUCUUCUGGUUCAAACUCACUAUAAAUGUUUUGUCACCAUCAGAAACUUCAAACAAAUCUUCACUGGCCAUCUGCAAUGAACAUCUCCUAGAAUGUAUUGCAACUUUCUUGAGCUUUUCUAUGAUGUUUUUUAGGAUAGCAGACGUCCAUGUGCAAGCCUUCUGGUAUCUUUUGUGUAAUUUCUUCAUAAAUUUUUUCCUUAGGCCUUCAACAAGUGUCAGUAUUGGUUGGCCCCUUAAGUCUCCAAUCCAAGCAUUGAAGGAUUCCGUGAAGUUAUUUGUGACAUGAUCACAUUUCAUUUCUGUUGAGAAUGCAUGUCUAGCCCAAGCAGAAACUGGAAUCUUGGAUAAGUACCUCCAUGCUUCUAUAUUCAUGUCCUUGAUUCUCUGCAUUGUUUCAUUAAAUCCAAUUGCAUCAUAACUCUUAGUAGCUUACCAAAGAAAGUAGUCAGUAACAUUCCAGGAAACUGAGACUUGAAGUUCAUGCAAAUAUGUCUGCAACAGUAUCUUCCAAUUGCAGAUGGCAGCAGCUGUUCAUAUGCAAUGUUCAGCCCCUACAUCAAAAUCAAAAAUCAGUCAGCAUUUUUUACCAUAUCUACACAGUAGGUUGUCCAAACUUUAACACGUUUAGUGUUUAAUAAUACCUUUUGUCUAUCACUCAUGACAGUUAAGGGAGAAUUGUUAUGGAAUGGUCCAAAGAAUUCUUCAAAGAAAUGAAAGAACCAACUCCAAGUCUCUCUAUUUUCUACCUUAAAAAUAGCAAAUGCAAUGGGAAAUAUGCUGUUAUUAGCAUCCAAUGCAACAGCAGUUAGCAAUACUCCACCAAAACUACCUUUCAAAUGACAUCCAUCAAAUCCAACAAAGGAUCUACAACCAGCUAAAAAUCUAUCUUUCUGUCCUUUAAAGCUAAUAAAAAGUUUCAGGAACCUUGGUUCAACUAGUAGAUUUGGUUUGUCAUAAUGAAUCUUACAAACACUAUCAGGAUUAUGUUGCCUUAGAAGCACAACAUAUUUUGGCAGUUUACUAUAUGAUUCUGAAUGUUUGCCUUCAAUCUCUUCUCUUGCUUUUUGUUUGGCUCUAUACACUUGCUGUUUGCUAGGAUGCACACCAUAUUUUAGCAUCUCAGCUUCAAUGCCCUUUCUUGAUAAGUGAGGAUGGGUUCUCAUCACAGCUAGCAGUUUCUUGGCCAUCCAGUCAGAGGUGGCCUCACGAUUUUGUUAUCCAUCACACAUGUAUGUUCAGGUGUGUAUGUCUUAAUCAUAAAUAUUAUUGAAUCAGCUACAGGAGACGCAUGAAUCCUCCAUGUACAUCCAGCAACAUCACAGAUUACAGUACACCUGGUUUUCUCAUUCUUCAGUCUUUUGAUGGGAAAUCCUUUUUGGAUCACAUAAUCCUUCAGUGCUGCUCUAAAGGCAUCAACAUUAGUAAAUAGCUGUCCCUUUUUGAAUUCUAUGUCCUCCUUUGGAUUGUAAGUUCACAUCUUGUUUCUUAGCACUUCUCUUAAAAGGUCAAUUUCUUGCUCAGAUUCAGAAUCUGGUACAAUUUCACCAGUUUCAUUAUCCUAAAAGUUUUGAAAAUCUUCAUCACUACUAGAAAUCUCAGACAGAACCAUUAGCUCAUCACCUAUAUCAUCUUCAUUGUCAUCAUCAAAUCCUUGCUUCCAUGAUUCAUCAGAGCUCGAUUCACCCCCAUACCCCUUAUCCUGACUGUCAAUAACAUGAACAUUCUGCUCAUCAUCAGCCAAGGCAUUCUGAAUGUUCUGAAUUUCUAUGCGCUCAUGGUCACCAUCAAACUUUCUGUUCAACAACAUGGCAGGUUGUUCAGCUGGGAUAAUGUCCAUGUUGAACACCUCUACAUUUAUGAUUGUUUGACCUUCAUACACACUAAACAUAUCAUGGACAGCUUCAUCAUCAUUCACAUCAAUGUAAGCUUCUGUUCCAGGUAUUGCACAUCUCAUAUGUACAAGAACAUUAAUAUUUCAAGGCAUUUCAUGUAAUGCCUUCUCGGCAACAUCAUUCAACAGAUUAAUGAAAGAAUAAUUUUGAGGAUUUAUAUUGCGAAUUCGAACUUUUGUCCCUCCACAAUGGAGUACAAUGUCAUGCACAUCACCAGUCACCAUCUUACAAGAUCAGGAUCACCAUUUAUGAACUUCAAUGAAUACAAACAUAUAAUACUAUGACAGAGUAACUCCUCUGACCUCAUGCAAACCACUUUGUAUGAUUCAUAUAAAUAGCACCAUCACAUAUGCAUGAAUACACGUUCUAGUUUAUAACUAUUAUAACCAGAAAUAAUGAAAACACUGUCAGGUGAUCACAUUAAUAACACAAGCAGACACUUAAUCACUAAUGUAGGAAAAUAAGAAGACAUUCUCAGUCUCCACACGGUCAGUAACCUUUUCAUCAGCCAUAAGCUACGUAGUAUCUAACUUUGCUUUGCUUCAGAUGCUCUCAGAACAGCAAUACUUCACCCUUUGCAGCAAUACUUCACCUCAAUUUCUUCGACUCUCCCGCUUCUCCUGGAGCUCUCAAAUGCUCUUCUCAUUCUCAGUAUGGCUCAUGCAAAUAUGUAUUCCUCACCAAAAUUAACGAUCAGUCAGCUAUCAUUGUCACAUCAACAACCAAAUGGGCGCCUAUUUUUGGCGCCUUUUCUCUUAACCGAAAUUAGUAAUUCAUUUUGCAUUCAAAUUGCAGUUAAGUUAGUUAAACACAUGUAUUAGUCAUUUCACUAAUUAAUUCAUGUUAUUAUCAGAAUAUAUUACUUCAACAGCAGGGAUAUUUGUGUCAAUUCAACGUCCUUCAAGUCAUUUUGGGGCCCAACAAUCUGACAGGAGAGGUAUAAGGGAUUUUUGGAACUUCAGGGGAGGUCCUUGAGACUAUCAGAAAUCUCAGGGGAGGUUUCUGAAAUUAUGACUUUCUAUUUUAUUAAGUGCAUAUAAUGAACCAAUUAACAAUAUUACGUAUAAAAAUGAUAAGGAAGUUUUCUUAUAAUAAACAAACACAAAAUCUUCCUACAUAUUUCAUUGUUAAACUAUGGCUUCCCAUCUAAAAGAUAUUCAUAGAUCAACAAUAAAUUCAUAUUUUAGAAAAAUAUGAUAUGUAAUUUUAAUAAAUUAUUAAUUUAUGCUAUGAAUGGGACCAAAUGGUCAUGUAAGGUUUCAAAAAAAUUAUUAUUUUAUUAUUUUGACAAAAUUAUUAAUUUAGCUCAUUAGUCCAAGUUGGCAUCAAAAAAUUAUUAUUUAAUAGAAGUUAUUAAUUUAUAGAGGUUCUACUAUAGGCAUAAAUUAUUUAUUCUUACUCUACCUAGAAAUAGUUUGUUUUACUAAAACUUACUAAAAAGAGCACAAUGUAGUGGAGGAUGAAAAUAAUUGCAAAAUCCCAAACUCUUCUGAAUAAUGGGUAAUCAUUGAAUAAAAAUUUUCAAAAUACAUUGUUUGUCUCCAUGCCAUUCUUGUAUUCUUUUCAACAUUAUAAAAAACCAUCUUUAUUUUCUAUGAAUUGAACAAAAGGGCUUCUUUAUGAAAUAGUUAAAAUCGAUGUCCUCAAAAUCUAAAGUUGAUUCUUUAAAGUUAAAAGUAUUUAAAAAAUAAAAUUUGCAGAUCAUCCAGAAUUCUUGUACUAAAUGUUUUUGCUAUGCUCUAUGAGAUAACUAAGAAAUCAAUUUUGUUAGUAGAAUAUUCUCCUCAUAGUAAACUAUGAUUUCCAAUUCAUUGUUUGAAACAUUUGAUGCAAAAUAAAAGUGAUUUUUUUAAAAAAGUACAAGAAAAAUUACAUUAUAAUUAUGCAAUGUUUUAAUUACUUUUAGUGGUAAAUAUUGUAAUGAUUGUUUUUCUCUUUUUAUAUCCAGUAGCCUAGCUUAUAACAUGGUAUCUUGAGAUUUCAGUGGAAGAUUCUCCUCUUAGCUACUCAUUUUUUUUUUUCAAAUGAAGCAGUUGCACAUAGCUCACUUAUUCCAUCUAAUUUGGUAGCUCUCACUAGGAAAUUUUUAUGAAGUCUUCCUCCUAUUGAUCUCUUUGGAGCGAUUAAGUUCUUUCAAUUAGUAGAAGUUUUGCUCACUGAUUAUAUAUUUUACUUUACUAUUUAUAGCCAAAGUCAUACAUAAACUUCCAAACAUAUUUAGUUUUAGAAUCCUAUUAACUUUCAUGCUUAUCUUGCAAAAUCUUUGACCUGUAAAUAUCAAUACAUUUUUCAUUAUAAGUUGAGCCAACUAGCUUUUGAUUUUGGCAUAUUCCAAAUUAUAGUUCCAAUAAGAUCACUAUUUUGAUCUGGCAAUUAAGAGGUUGAAAUUGUGGGUUCAACACACUAAUUUUAUUUUAUUUUCAGUGUAAACAAACAUUGAUCCCUUGUGGAUGAUGAAUUUAAUCUAGUAUAUUUUAAGCAAUCUCGACAUGAAUUUUGUUGUUUAAAAUUAUAUUUAGAAGAAUACCAGAUGAUCUAUAUAAGAUAGAUAAAAAUGUGAAAAAAUGAAGAUGUCACUGACGUAUUUAAAAAAAAUUAAUUAUACUAGCUAACUACUAGUGAAACAACGUGAGAGUUCAUGUAGUUGAAAGAACUCCUUUUCCUACUAGGCUAUAGAGUCUUUGAAGAAAAAAGAUCAACCAAUAUCAAUAUCAUGUUUCUUUGAUUCACCUAAGAAUCAUGAAGAGAAGAUUGAGAGCGAGCCUUCUGUUGAUAAAAAAUGUUGCAUACUAAGUGAAUUUCAUAAUACUAAACUUCACAAAAGAAAUGGGGCUAUUUGAUGAUCUUGAAACAAGAUCCUAAAGCUUUUUAUUACUCUCUCUAAAUUUGGUUCUAGAUUUUGGCAAUAUAACUCUACUGAUACGACAUUAUAGAGAGAAAAAUUAAUAGCAAAAUCAAAUUUUCUUAGUAAGAAAUGAUCAAAUGCAAAUAGUUAAUUUAAUUGUAAGGAGACUUGUAGAUAUAUUUGAAAUAAAUAUUCCACACUUGUUUCUAGCUUUCAAAAAUUAUGUAUGAUAAAAAUACACCUUCUGAUAUCAAUAUAACCAUCAUCUGAAGUAAAACAAUACCAAAAAUUUUCUGCAUAUUGGUAAAGAUUUGAUCCUAGAUCCAAGUGGACUCAGAACCAAAUCUGGUUCACAUCUUAAGUCAACAAAAACUGACAUUGGAUCACUAGUAAUCUUGACUGGAUCAAAAGUUAGAUGUAGAAAAAACCUAUCUGAUCAUGAUUCGGCUUUAGAUUCAACUUGGUCUACACAAAGAUUUAACCUCAGAUCUUUGGACAAUUUGUUGGUCCUUUGAUUUUCUUUUUUCAAGUCUUAUAUUGUACAAUUCAAGUCUCAUUUUUAUGUUACAUAUUUUAUCUAUACAUUUUUAAGCCUUGUUUAUACAUCUAUAUAUUUCAUGACUAAUUAUUCCAACAAUUCCUUACUAAGUUUGUAAUGAAAUAUCAAACUAACACUAUCAAUUAUUAAGCAUAUAGUAAAUUAUACUUUGAUCUAAACUUUUCUAUUAGUGUAAAUAUGUUACUAAGUCUAACCAAAUCAAGGAGGCUAAUGGCCUUCAAAUAUGAUUUGCAAAUUACACCCGAUAUAUCAUACAUAUUGUAUUAUAAUAUUGAUCAAUUCACAAAGAACUUUAGCACUUUUACCAGUCAUAUGCUGUAUUACAGAUUCAUGAUCAUGUACAAAAGUAAAUACAAACUUUUAUUUGAAACAAUACAACUUUUAUGAUCAUAUAGGUGAAAUUACUCAAAAAUUUUAUAAUGCAAAGCACCAUGAAAGAAUUUACACUUUAUUAAGAGUGAACAUUAAAUAUAUACUCAACCUCUUAAUAACUAUAUACACUAGUAGGAUGGACUAGUACAUAUAAGUAAUAGUACUCGCAAUCACUUAUUAACAAUUUGUUGUUACUUCUUAAACCUAUUUAAUCUAGUAGUAGUACUAGAAGAAAGAUAGAAUUCCUAUGAGAAUGUAUCAAGUGGUUAUUGACUGCCAUAUCACUAGUGUGAAUACCCGUGCUACGCACGUGCUGAUAUUAUUUAAAAAAUAAAAAUAAAAGGGUGAAUUAAAAAAUGUUAAAAAUUUGUACCAACACAAUUAAAAUAUAGUAUCUGUCUAACAAUAGUUUGAAAUAUGAUAGAAUGUGUAUAUUAUUCAAAAUUUACCUUUUUUGGAAGAUAGAUCCUGAAAAAAUAAUAAAAAUUUAUAUUAGAAAAUGAAUGAUAUAUAAAUAAAAAUGAAUGUAAUUAAGUGUUGUUAAAAUGAAAUACUUACGAAUAUUAUGCAUUCGAUUUGAUAAUCUUGUAUGAAGGUGUGAACACUCUUCACACCAAUCAACUUUUAGUACGAAAGUCAAAAUUCGUGAUUUAAUUAAUUCUGUUAAAUUUUGUGGAAUGCGUAUUACAAAUGAAAAUGCACGAUCUUUGCAUGAAUUGAUUCGUUGGUUGAACAACCUAUCACCAUUGUCCUGAGAAUUAAGUACGUGCGAAAUACAAAAUUAGUAUUUUUUUUUACAUAGUUUAUAGAUAGCAUUAUAAAAAAUAAACAUAUAUCAAGAAAUUUUACCUUUUUUUGUAAUUCUCUGAGAUAUGAAGCAUCACAACUACGAACCAUGCAUGUCUGUCCUGUAGAUUAAGAUGCAUGUUACCACUGGAAUCUCUAAUUUGUAUGUUAACAUUAUACUUGUUUGACAAAUAAAAUGUUAUAUACAAUACAAAAAAAUUUGUUGAAAUUAAAGGUACAUGAAAUUAAUUACAUAACAACAGAAUCGACCACGUUAUUACAAUGCAUACACACUAUUUUUGAAAAAUGAUCUUCACAUAGUUGUCCAUAAUUUUUGCAUAACUCAAAGAACAUGUUUUCUAUGUUAAUACUCUGAAUGUAAGCAAGUAUUCGAAAAUAUUUAACCUAGUAAGAAUGAAAGAAGGUAUAGGUUAUGGUUAUAAAUUUAAAAAAUUUGUGCAGUAAUUAAAUUAAAUAGAGUAAGUUUACUGUAUGCAUGAUUGUAUAUUCGGAUAUCCAUAUUCUCUUUGAAUUUGCUAUCAACAAUGCUUGUGAUGUUAUAAAAUUGCUUGACCUCAACCAUGUAACUAACUUUCGAGCACAUAUAUCUUUUUCAAACCUAUAAUUUUUUGAAACAAAUGUUGAUAAGAGUAUGAAACAACAUUAAAAGUUUGAUGUGGUGUUACUGAUGGAACUCACCAACUGCGCAGGUAUCGAACAAAGUCUAAAUUGUGAUUGAUAUACAAUUUGCUAGCUCCAAUUGUACAAAGUGAUGGUCCUGCAUAGUAUGGUUAUAUUUGUUAAAAAACUAUUCAAAUUAUAUAGAAUAUAAGUAAAAGCAUUUGAUUUACCUCUGAAAUUUUGUACACAAAUACCACAUGCUAGUAAAAUAUUAUUUUUUGUAGCAGACUAAUAUUAUAGGAUUUGUAGUAUAUUCAAUAACUUGAUACACAAAUCACUGAUGAGGCAAAAUUUGCCUAAAUAAGUUUUACAGUGUCCUAACUCCUUGCAAAAGAAAAAAGCGCUAAAUAGUCCUAAUUGGCAUCGCAAGUUACGGUAACAUGCCAGUGGCAUCUAGAUCUAAUUUUUUUUUUUGGCUAAAAUCUAGUCCUAAUUGGUUCUGCUGUUUCUUGAUCAUGUCGUAUGCUUCCGAAUUAAAAUUGUAUUAAAAUAGCAUGUGAAUAAGCAUUUGUCUUUAAUUAAGGAGUAAAAAGGAUUUAAAGUAUAAACAACAAACUAUAAACGGUUUAUGAAAUAGAUUAUGAAAAAGUUUUUAAUUUUAAAUUUGACUGGUGAGAGAGUUGGUUAUAACCCACUACUUUUUAUGUAUUAAAAUAAAUACAAAAAUCUAGACAAAAAUCUAUAACUCACUACUUGUUUCGUUCUUGGGAUUUUUUUUAGGGUUAAAUAUAGUAAGUCUCUUAACUUUAAAUUUAGCUGCACUUUACCCCUCAAUUUUACAUUUAGUUGUACAUUUGUGAUUUUUUUGAAACGUGAUUGUAAUUGGCAAAGCUCAUUUGUAGGGGUAGUUAUAGGGUUAGUGUGGUUACAAAUAUUUCUUAAUCAUAAGAAUGUAACAUUGUAUUAAAAUAGCAUACGAAUGAGCAUUUGUCUUUAAUUAAGGAGUAAAAAGGAUUUAAAAUAUAAAUAACAAACUAUAAGUGAUAACAUGAAGUAGAUAGUGGGAAUGUUUUAAAUUUUAAAUUUAAUUGAUGAUAGGAUUGGUUAUAACCCACUACUUUUUAUGUAUUAAAAUAAAUACAAAAAUUUAGAAAAAAGAAUGAGAAGUUUGGAAGCCAUUGAGAGGGUCUCUGCUAAAAACCCCUUCUGCAAUACAUAUAGAUAUAGAUUUUUGACGUGGUGGUUAAAUAAGUAAGAUUUGGAUGUCACGUGUCUAUGUUUGAUUGCUCAAAUCUCUACUCUGAAUAGUCUUUUUUUUUAAUUACUUUUUGUCUUCUUUAAUCAAUGCAAUCUAUACCUCUAUAUCUAUCCAGACUGAUAAAAAUUUAAAAUUAUAAUUUUGAUCUCUAUCUCUUCGUUGUCUAGCAAAAGUUUAGAGUCACAAGUUGAUGAAAUGAUGAAAAAAAUAAUAUUUCAAAUCAUUCUCUGAAUAAGAACUAGGUUUAGGCUUUGGGAAAAAACUCCAAAGUUGUAGUGAUAGUUACAAUACAAAAUGAGAUGAGAAAAAAGAAAGGGACAAAGGAGAAAAUGAAUAUAUCUGCAAAUAAGGAGGAGAGAGUUACAAAACAAAUGAUGGAUGGUAUUCAUUAGUUGGGGUGCCACUCAUAACCUAGUAAACUUCUAAUUGGGUUUGAAAUUUGCAAUAUACCGAUUGUUUUAGUUGAAUUUUGAAACUAAAAUGGAGGUUUGCUUGAUAAUUUGUGUAGAUAUAUGUUUGAAUCUCAAAAGAGUGGCUCAUGACAUUGCUAGUUGGUGAUGUCCAUUGUCUUUGCUCACUAAACUAGAUAGAUGAGGACUCGGAGUUGAUUAACUUUUGGGGAAGAAGAAAAAACGGAAAAAGUUAGAAAAAAUAGACACUUGACUCUCCACCUUGGUUAUUAACCGCCACAUCAAAAAUAAUGUGGCGCUUAAAGAUCACCCAAUAUUCUCUUGGAUUCCUACUGCUAGAGAUUCUAAGUGAAGGGUUUCAAUCCCAUCCCUUAUUUCACUAAAUUCUUUGGUAAAGAUUUAGUUAAUUGAUCUGCAUAAUUAUUGUAUAUUAUUACAAAUACAAUAGUAAUGACAUUAUCUUUCAAAAGUUGUCUAAGAUACUCAUUCUUAAAUUAGUAAGUGUAGAUUUACCAUUUUAUAACUUAUUCAACUACCAUAGAAAUAGUGAUUUCAGCAUCACAAUAUAAAGAGACCAAAAUGACAUAGGUUUAGGCCACAACUUAACAUCAAGUAAUAAAUUUCUAAACCAUUCUGCCUAUGUACAUGUUGUACUAAAGUAAUAAAUUUAGCUUUCAUAAUAGAAUUGACAAUAACUAUUUACUUCUUAGAUGUCCAUGAUAUUGCAUUACCACCAAAAAUGAAUAUCCACACAAUGUAGAAUUAUCAUUCACAAUAAUGAACUAAGUAACCUCCAAGUAACCUUCAAGUACAACUGAAAAUCUAUUAUAAAUCUAUUAUAAAGGAGUUCUAAAUUUUUAGUCAUAUUACAAUAACCAAGAACUUUCCCAAUGGACUUCUAUUGGCCCAAUCCUAAAUUCUUUAUGUAUCUUACAAGUUAUAAACUGCAUACAAAAUAUCUUGUUUUUCAUAUGCAUUGUGUUAUAUUAAAUUUCCAAUUACAAUAGCAUUUUUAAGUUGAGCAAUGGAAUUACUAGAACUUUCAUAUAAUUUCGAGUUAGGAUUAAAAGUGGUACUUAUUUCUUUAAUUUUUAAAUUUGAUAUCUGUUCAAGAGCUUAUCAACAUAAUGGAAUUAACACAAGGAAUGAUCCCUAUUAUUUCUUAAUUUUAAUACUCAAAAUAGUAUUCAUCUUUCCAAAGCUCUUUAUUUCAAACUUUAAAUAAAGAUACUUCUUUGUUUCUUCUACACCUUUUAUAUUAGUUCAACAAUGAGCAUAUUUUGUAAAUGACUAUAUCAUGUGAAUUUAAAAUAAAUACACUUAUCAAAAUUAUUGUAUCUAAAUCUACUUGCAAGUAGUACAGAUUCUAAUUUCUCAACCAUUGUUUCGAUACUUGUUUUAACCUAUAUAAUGUGUUAAACCAAUUUAUAGACUUUCUUUUUAUUUUCAAGAAAAAAAAUAUUUUGGUUGUCCUUCCUAUAUAAGUAUUCUUAUCUAAGAUACUAUCUAAGAAUUUUAUAUUCACAUCCACAUGGCGCACAAGCUAAUUGUACAUUAAAUGUAAUGACAAUAGUACUGUUAUGGAUGUAAAUGUAGCAACCGGUGCAUAUGUGUAUCAAAAUAGUCUAUUUUUCCCUUUGUUCAGAAGUUUUAGCCACUAAUCCAAUUUUGAAUGUUAAAAUAAAUCCAUUCGUUGCAUGUUUUUUCUAAAUAUCCACUUAAAACUAAUUAAUUUUAAACCUUGUGGUUAAUCAACUAGAACCUAUGUAUUGUUAGAUAAUAAUGAGCCUUUUUCAUUAUUGCUUCUCUUUGAAAUUAGGACUAUCAAUGGGUCGAGCCAGUUCAAGCUCGGCCUGUUUGACCCAAGAAAAAGACCGAUGAGUCUAACCUUUCAAUGAGCCAGACUGAGAUUUUUUUAAACCCAAAUUAAAUAUGAGUCGAGAUUGGACAUCAUUAGGCUCAAACCUGAUAUAGACCCAACCCUUUAAUUACCUAUAUAUAUAAUGAUAAAUAUAUUUAUAUUUUGGUAUUAUAUAUAAUUAUAUAUCCAAAUAUAUUAUUACUAAAUACUAAAUAUAUACAAAUAUGUUUAGGGUUCUUUUUUUUGGUACUUUUUUAUGCUUUUUUCUUGAAAACAUCUACAUAUAAUUAUGAGGAAAAUGUAAAUGAAAAGGAGAAAACUAAGUUUUAAUUGAAUUGGGUUGGGUAUCCAAUUAGUUGUUUUACUUUAAAUUAAACUAUCUCAUUGACUUUUUUUUCAUUUCUUAAAUCAAUUUGUUUACUUUAAGUUGAAUCAAUUUGUUUACUUCAUUUGGAUUCAAGGCACAAGGUUAUGAAGACGUUCCAACCUUUGAAGAUAUAUUGGUUGAUGACCGCAUAUUUUAUUACAAUUUUUCAUAUACUUUGAACGAAUUAGAUGUAAAUAUUUUUGAAAAUUCUUGGUUUAUGUACUUUUUAAAAACUAUUACUUGUUCAUGUAUAAUUUUAAUAUUGUAGUCCCAUAAAUGUUAAAUUAGUUUUACAACAUAAUAAUUAUAGUAAUUAUAUUAAGAAAAUUGAAGAGUAAUAAGUGAACUUGGACUAACCCUGAAUAAAGCUCAAAACCCAAUUAUUUUGUGAGUCAAGCAUAAGUUUCACAUUUUUCAAUCAGAAACUCACAACCUGAAAUUCGAAAGUGUUACAAAUUAAAUGAGCUAAACCCGAAUUUAUGAAAACCCAACUCAAAUUGCCCGAUUGACAAGCCUAUUUGAAAUGCAAAAUCUCUUAUUAUCACAGCUAAACUAAAUGUCUUGGGAUCAUUUUUCAAAGUCAAUAAGGUUGAUAUCUUAUUUUGUAAAAUUCUUUGUAACCUUCAACCAAAAAUACAAUUGCUUGUGAAGAUAUGAAAUUAGAAAAAAGAUAUUUUUCUUUUCUUUAUCUUUGACUUCUCGUAGAUUUAAUAGAAGGGUCAACCACCUUCCUCUUAUCAUUUGAAGAAGGAUCAACAUUUUGGAGUGGUUAUUGUUCAUUAUUUGGAUCCACAUUGGGCAUAGAAUCUUUGAAAAACUUAUUUUAAAGAAUUGCACAUUGCUUGACUAUUCAAUUAUAUUAGGAUCAAUAUUGAGUAGUCUAUAGGAUUUAGAAUUUUCAAUGUAAUUUAUUGGUACACUUUUAUGUGCCCUUGGCCCCAAUUUAGUUCCUUUGUUAUCCUAAACCUUAUAGUAAGUUAUGCACCUUCAAACUCUAAAAUAACUUGAGUUUGACUUUUUCCCUUUCCAUACCUCAUAUGGAGAGACAUUUAUUUUCAGUGAAAGAGUUCUACUAUGAACAUGACAUGCAGCCUCGCCCCAAAUUUUUUUGGUAAAGCAAAACAUAAUAACAUAGAAUUAACCACGUUUUUCAAAAUUCUAUUAUUUCUACUUGCCAAACCCAUUUUGUUAUGGAGAAUGUGGCGUAUAAUUCUAUUUUGUUCACAAAAUGGUGAAAAUUAAGUAGAAAAAUAAUCUUCUCCUCUCUUACUUUUUAAUAUUUUAAUUUUCUUUUCCAAUUGAUUUUCAACAGAAGACUUCUAAAAUCUGAACAUACUAAAAGAUUCAUCUUUACAUUUCACAUAAUACACAUGAACAAAUCUAUGACAAUCCAUAAUAAAUAUGUUGAAAUACUUCUUAUUACCUCUUGUUAGAAAACCAUUUACUUCAUACACAUCAAAAUGCACAAGUUUAAGUAAACUAGUAUUUCUUUCAGCCUUAAAAAAAGAUAAUCUUGCCACUUUGGUUUAUAAGCAUGUUCCACAUUUCCUUCUUCAUUACCAUCAUAGGCAAUUACUCUAUAUUAGAUAUACGAUGUAGUCUCUUAUUAUUAACAUGUCUAAAUUUACUAUGCCAUACGGAACGAGAAGAUUCAACAAUAUAAGCAGAAUUAAUAUUUUUCUUAAUACUCAUUUUAAACAUCCCAUUACAAGAGAAACUUUGUCCUAUAAAUAUAUUGAUUGGACAAGAUUAUUUUAUUAGAGUCUAAUACAACCCUAAAACCAUUCUUAUUGAACGUAUUAGCUGAUAUAAGAUUUUUCCAUAUAUCAACAACAUGAAGUACAUUAGUGUGUACUAGCUUUUAGCUUUUUGCCAAAUAUGAAUUGCAAGUCUGCUAUCCUUUUACCAUAAAUCUUGGCAGUGUCAUGAUUGCUCAUUAUCAUUUUAAAACUAUCAAGAACAUCUUCAUGGAUCUUGAAUAUAGAAAUGCCAUUGUAAAUAUACACCAUUGCACCAAAAUCAUAUGACCAACCCCUUAAAUUGAAUCUAGAAGUCAUGUACUAUUGCAACAAUUUUAGCAACAUCUUUGUAUUUCACAAGAUUUGUUUCAGCAUUAUCCUUCUUUUGCUCCUUGUUAGAUGUAUACUAACUUUGUUUAGAAGAUUUUCUCUUCUCAGGCUCUCCACCAAUGUUGUUGUUCCUCUUCUUCUCAUCCACAUAGUUCACCUUAGGACCAACAUCAAUUUCUCUUUUUUGAAAAAUUCAAACAUCCUUUUGGGUAAUAUGGAGCAAUUUCUUUUGAUAGUCAUUUUAACUGGUGGUAACUUUACUAUAAUUGGCUCCACUCCACUUGCAAUGCCUCAAAAAUCUACACACCAAGAUCUUUAAAUUUAGAAACCAAAAUUUGUAGAUCAUGCAUUGAUCAAGGAGAAAGAAUCUUCAUUAAUAAGAAAAUCAAAAUAUUUCUUAAUAAAUUUGUCCAUACCUUGUUUUUGAGUAGGAUAUUUAUACUCCAAUGCAACAUAAAUUUCUCUUGGUGAUUUAAUAGAAGCAUACAUGUCAUAGAGCCCAUCCAAGAGCGUGUCCAAAAUGUGGCUUCUACACAAGACUUCAUACUCUUCACGCUUCCUUCGUUCAGCCUUUAAUGUUUAAAGUCUUGAUAUCAUGAUCCUUAGGAGGAGAAAUUGAUGACAAUAUCGAACCAAGUACAUAGCGCUACCUUUAUCAUUUCACCUCUUGAAGUUUGUCCUCUUUGUAUCAAGCUGAUCAUGUUUAAUAACCCUUUGGCUUAUGAUCUUGAGAGGAUUUUCAGUUAAAGAAUCCAUUUUACACGAUAAAAUCCUAAAGACUGUUGAAGAAUAAUGCAUGCUAGAAUGCAUAAAUUUGUAACAAUAAAUUUCACAAAGCCAAUGGGAUUUGUUUGAUGAUCUUGAGGUGUGUAGAAAAUAAUCUCCUUAAAGUUUUUAUUGUACAAUUAAUAGUUUGCUUUUGGAUUAUGACAAAAUACUUUUAGAAUACAGUAAGAUGAAGGGAACGUUGACAAUAACUCACUAAAAUGAUCAAAUGCAAAAAGUUAAUUUAAUUGUAAGAAGGGCUAUCAAUUUCUAAGAAAAUGUGUUCAUACUUAUUUCUAACGUUCAUAAAUUAUGUCCGAUGAAAACAAACCUUCUAGAUGAAAUUUAAAAAAAUUAAAAAACUAAAAAAUUUCUGCCUGCUGGUGAAGAUCCUGUCGUGGGUCCAAAUGAACUUGUAACGGGAUCCAAAGUCAAAUCUGGUUCACAUUCUUGUCAACAAAAACCCGGCACCGAAUCAUCAGUAAUCUGGAUUGGAGCAGGAUAUAGAAAGGACCUCUUCGGUCAUGAGCCCGCUUUGGAUCAGGCUUGGUAUACACCAAAAUUUUUAUUAAGUUUUUGGUACUUUGAUUUUGUUUCCAAGUCUCACAUUGCACAAUUCAAGUCUUAUUUGUAUAUUCUAUGUUUCAUUUGCACAUUCUGUGUCUCAUUUGCACAUUUCUACAUUUCACUAUAAAUUAUUCCAGCAAUUUCUUAUUGCACUUAAUGCAGUACAAGGGAUGGUCCUCGUGAGAAUCAUUGUGUCCAAAAUCUGAAUUUCAACGUUUCAACCAAAUCCCAGUAAGCAACUAAGUAAAACGAUUAACUUCUACACAAUUUUUGCAAGACUAAGCCUAGUUGAUGACUGCUUGAGUAAUAGAGAAGGAAGGCUUGCAGGGAGAAAAGGUAUCGAUGAAAGUCUUCUCUCCGAUGCAUGUUUUACCAUGGAGUAUAUGGCGAUCUCAAUUGUUUUUUCAAGCAUGAUUUUGACUUCUUAGCCACCAGAUACAAGCAGCUAAGCAUUGCAAAAUUUCUCAAUUAAGUAUAGUCAUCACAAUAAAUUGGCGAAUUUGGCAAAGUUGUAUUCUUCAACCUCUAACAAUCUCUGCUUAACACUCCAGAUGCCAUUUACAGUAACCCAAGACCAGAACUCGCAACCAGAUACGUCAAAUUUAAAUCACUAUGCCUGAGUAAUAAAGUAAAAUUGACUCGGAUAAUUCAAUUCAAAGACAGAAGUGAUACAAAAACAUUUGAACAAGUCAUUUUGUUAUGCAGAGUUGCAGUCUCAGAGAACGGUAAACAUGUCCAUGGCGAUCAUGCUUCUCAAUGAAAUUUAAAGGGCCUGAAAGAUGAGUGGAAAAGAAGCAGGAAACUAAUUUAAAUACAGAAUUUGCCGUAUAGGGAGCUGAUUAGAAUUCACAUACACGCUACAAAACCAUAAGACUAGUCUUUGGCAGCCAAUUCAAUUCCAAGUGGGCUCAAAUUAUAGUGUAAACGGUUUUCUUCGUACAGUAACACAACAAUUACUUGCCUAAAUCAAUUCCAUCUUCGACCU